ensembl:misc_RNA Metazoa_SRP Metazoan signal recognition particle RNA
ACCAGGCAUAGUAGCUUAUGCCUGUAAUCCCAGCACUUUGGGAGGUUGAGGCAGGGGGAUUGCUUGAGCCCAGGAAUUCGAGACCAGCCUGGGCAACAUAGUGAGAUCCUGUCUCUU